rnacentral:lncRNA from 1 species
AGCAGCAAUUGGAAUGUCUUUAUCAAAUGUAAAACGAAUAAAAGCUGAAAAAAGAAAGAACAUCGAUAAAGAAAGCCCUUUUAUCUCGCCCAUAAAAACCAAGCAAAUUUUAAAUUCUAAAAUUGUAUUUGACGAUUUCGAUAAAGAACUGCUUCGAAGGAUUGUGCACAAUUAUUAUAGUGACCAGAAAGAAGUUCCAACUGUGACCAAGUUGGUUAGUGAAAUGAAAAUGACUGCAGGAUUUGACAGCAAAAAGAGAAUUUAUAAGAAAGCGACUCCACGAAAUUGAUUUUCGAUUUCAAAAAUGCAAAUCUAACAGAUGCAUUCUAAUAGAGAAACCGGAAAUUGUUGCAGCACAACGCCG